UACAGUCCCCACUCUCAAGCUUCCUCUCCGCGCACACCCGCGCACACCAAAAAAAAAAGCUUCCUCUCCGCGUAAAACGUUAUCCCCUGGCUGCCGCGUCCAUCGCCUCCCCGCUGCCGGCGGGAGGACCGGGCUCUCCCCUCUGCCGGCGCGAGGGCCACCCUGCUAGUGCCGCAAGCUCUUCCCCUCCAUGCCUUCGUAGCGCUCCCGGGACGGCUGGCCCUUUCCCUACUCCCCGCUGAUGUCGCCAUUUCCAAGCGUGGUCAGCAUGCCCUGAUCUUGUUCGCCCCUCUUCGUCCAUUCCAGCCGGAGAAGAGCCCGAGGAGGCGCUGGAGCUCCACCCUUCCUCCAAGCAUCCACAGACACAGAUCCCUGCAUAGCCAUAUGCGCAGAUGCAUUCGAUGUGCAGCUGGAGGCGGAUGAAGUGCUUCCACCGUUGUCGAGUAUGUUGCUUCUGAUCUAGGUUUAUAUAAUGAGUCAUUAUUGUCUGGGCUGCUACAAAGAGUCAGUACUCAUGUAAGUGGUCAAUGGUUUCAUACAGUCAUGUUCUAAGGAAGUAAGAUGUGGAUAACAAAAGGAAACAAGCUUCAGAUCCAAUACAUGCGCUUGAAGCCCCAGAUAUAGCGUCCUCCAGCAAGCAUGAUAAAGAAGAAUCAUGUAUGUCGACACGUACUUCACGGAAAGAGACAUCCAGGGCCGGUCUACAUGUUGAUUGACCGAAGAACCAGAAUAUCAUACCUCGUAUGAAGGUCGAGGUCGUUGGCUGCAGGUCGCGGUCUCCAGGGCAAUUGCCACGGCGAGUUGCGUACAGGCUAGGUGGCACGCGGGUCAGUACGGCGCAUG